UACGGGGGGGGGCAAGCGUUUGUUCGGAAUUACUGGGCGUAAAGGGCUCGUAGGUGGCCAACUAAGUCAGACGUGAAAUCCCUCGGCUUAACCGGGGAACUGCGUCUGAUACUGGAUGGCUUGAGUUUGGGAGAGGGAUGCGGAAUUCCAGGUGUAGCGGUGAAAUGCGUAGAUAUCUGGAGGAACACCGGUGGCGAAGGCGGCAUCCUGGACCAAUUCUGACGCUGAGGAGCGAAAGCCAGGGGAGCAAACGGG
rnacentral:rRNA from 1 species